UACGUAGGGUGCGAGCGUUGUCCGGAAUUAUUGGGCGUAAAGGGCUCGUAGGCGGUUUGUCGCGUCGGGAGUGAAAUCCACUGGCUUAACUGGUGGCUUGCUUUCGAUACGGGCAGACUGGAGGUAUGCAGGGGGAGAACGGAAUUCCUGGUGUAGCGGUGAAAUGCGCAGAUAUCAGGAGGAACACCGAUGGCGAAGGCAGGUCUCUGGGCAUUAACUGACGCUGAGGAGCGAAAGCAUGGGGAGCGAACAGG
rnacentral:rRNA from 1 species